UACAGAGGUCUCAAGCGUUGUUCGGAUUCAUUGGGCGUAAAGGGUGCGUAGGCGGCGUGGUAAGUCGGAUGUGAAAUCUCGGAGCUUAACUCCGAAACUGCAUUCGAUACUGCCGUGCUUGAGGACUGGAGAGGAGACUGGAAUUUACGGUGUAGCGGUGAAAUGCGUAGAUAUCAAGAGGAACACCUGAGGUGAAGACGGGUUGCUGGGCUGACACUGACGCUGAGGCGCGAAAGCCAGGGGAGCAAACGGG
rnacentral:rRNA from 1 species